rnacentral:rRNA from 1 species
GGGAUGAGCCCGCGUAGGAUUAGCUAGUUGGUGGGGUAAAGGCUCACCAAGGCUACGAUCCUUAGCUGGUCUGAGAGGAUGAUCAGCCACACUGGGACUGAGACACGGCCCAGACUCCUACGGGAGGCAGCAGUAGGGAAUAUUGGACAAUGGGGGCAACCCUGAUCCAGCAAUGCCGCGUGAGUGAUGAAGGCCUUAUGGUUGUAAAGCUCUUUUACCCGAGAUGAUAAUGACAGUAUCGGGAGAAUAAGCUCCGGCUAACUCCGUGCCAGCAGCCGCGGUAAUACGGAGGGAGCUAGCGUUGUUCGGAAUUACUGGGCGUAAAGCGCACGUAGGCGGCGAUUUAAGUCAGAGGUGAAAGCCCGGGGCUCAACCCCGGAACUGCCUUUGAGACUGGAUUGCUAGAAUCUUGGAGAGGCGGGUGGAAUUCCGAGUGUAGAGGUGAAAUUCGUAGAUAU